ensembl:lncRNA
CACCCUUACACAGACAUACGCCUAGGCAAAACACCAACACACACAAAAUAAAAUAAAAAAAGCAAAACAGAAGGGCCUAGGCCUGGCCCAGGAUGAUGUGGUAGAUGAUGUGGUAGACUUUGGGGAGCCCCUUUUGAGGGCCUUACCCUGUCUGGGGAGUGGAGGGGGGGAUGGCUAGGGGCAGGUGGGAUGUUGGGGGGGAGGGGAGGAAGAGGGAGAGGGAGAGGGAGAAAGGAUUGACAUCUGAAGCAAGCAUGUUCCUAAUUUGAACUAAUUAAAUUAAAUUAAAAAAAAAGCAAAACAAAAAGCAGAGUUUGUGUCAAGUCAGGCAAGGGUGUGGCUGCUGGCCAGAGACCCAGGUGUCACUGACACCUUGCUCUGGGAACUCCCAGCACCUCUUCCCAGGUGUCAGAUGCUGGUUUGUUUGUGUUGUCCACAGUGAAAGCUCAUUGGAGGGGCUCACAGUUGAGAAGGUCCCAGCCCUGUGGCUGGGAUUUCCCCUCUCUGCCUUGAGUUUCCUUGAUCUGAUUAUCUUGGGCUUGUCUUGCUGGGUGACUCAGGCGCUUGAGCAAGUUUAGGUACUAGGUUUCACAGCUCUGGGGGUGGGGAAACCUGGUCUCUCCUGGGAAAUAGUCAUUAGAUAUUGACAAAAGCAUCACUGUCAGGCUCCAGCUUCAGAAAAAGACUCUCCAAGCCUUGAUUCUUAUCAAAUAAAGUAACAAUACCAUCAUCUAGUGCAGGACUUCUCACCCUGGGGUCCACCACACACACACACACACACACACACACACACACACACACACACACACACAGGCUGCAUAUCAGAUGUCCUGCCUAUCAGUUAUCUACAUUAAGAUUCAUAACAGUAGCUAAAUUGCAGUUAUGAAAUAGCAGCAAAAUGAGUUUAUGGUAUGUGUGUGUGGGGUCACCACAACAUGGAGAACAGUAUUAAAGGGUUACAGCUCUAAUGGGCUAUUGAGAGAUUGUAACAUUGCCAAGGAAAGGCUCUGCGGCCCAGAGGCCGGUCUGUGAGGUGAGCUUUCACCAUUUGUCUUUUGCCAGGACGAAGGUGAGAGUCUGUCAGAUGAAAUCGCUUGCCUGGGGCAGCUAGCAAAUAACUUCCCACAUCCCAUGUCCGGAACCACUAUGCGCCCUGCUCUUCUAAGAAUGUCUCCAGGAGACCCAGCCAAGACUACGGCUGAGGACCAAGUGUCCCCUUCCAAGAAGCUGCUUUUCCGCUAGUUGGGCUGACAGGGAAGAGAUGCGCCUCUAAGCUGCUUCUGAGGCGCCCAUCACUGGAAGACCCCUUGUGGUAGCCUCCUCUACACAGCUUAGAUAAAGAGUCUAUUAGCUUCCCCAGAGCGGGUUCUGGAAGCUGGAUCUGGCACGAAGCAGAAGUCAGCCCCUCAGCGGUGCCUCUUCCUUCAGCCUACCAUCCUCGCCCCUCCCACUGGAUUCCCGACACUGGAUUUCUCUCGCCAGCGUCCCUGAGCCCAGGGCACAGGAUCAUUUCUUCCUAAACUGUCCCUGGAGCCAGGGCAGUUAUGCAUCCUGCCCGCCACUGUUGUCAGUGCACACUUGCAGAGGUUUCUGUGGAAUUCAGGCUUCAGUAAACACUUGAGAAGGAGGAAGUGGGCCAAGAAAUCCGAGGACGAUUGCAUCAGGACUGGCGCACACUGCCCUUUCCCAUCUCCGUCUCUGAGAAGCCCUCCCUCUUUGUCCUGGAGGGGCGGGGAGGCAAUUAAGGCCUUGGACCAUCCCCUGGCCUUCUCUGGGCCCCCUGGUCUAGGGGAGAGGCUAAUGCUGGUGAGGAGGGGAACGCUGAAGAUGGGCCUCAGGUGUGAAUUGUAUGUGGCCUUCUGGACCUGGAGUUUGAAAGCUGCAGAGGGCAAAAGUGAAAGAGUCCAAAAAGGCUGGGAAGCUGUGUUUCUGGAGAGGCAGCCAGAAGCCAGGCUCCAUACACGUGAAACAGUAACUGCGGUGCCAGCUGCAGUCCAGCUGCGGAAACAGUGGCUGCUUGGUCAGGGGCGCUGAUUCGGAAGCAGCCACCUUUUGUAUACUGACCCUGCUGGUUCAUAUGCCGUAUCUUAGAAUCCCAGCAAGACUCCUCGGGAUUGGUAUGAUUAGGACCAUCCUUUUACAAGUAAAGACACUGAAGAGUUGAAGUUCAGAGCUAUCUAAGGUGCCUUGGCCAGUGAGGUCUAGUAGAGGAACGGAGAAACAAGGAGCCAAGGAAGCAGGCAGAGGAGAUCAGGAUCCUGUCCCCUCUUCUCUUCUUCCAUUUUACAGAAGCCGGGGAGAAAUAUGAAAACUCAACUGUGCCCUGCACCAGCCUCCGCCCCCAAGUUAAGGAACACAAAAGAGAAAUGCCAGGAGACGUGAGCAUUCCCUUCAGAGCCGCCGCUGGUCAUGAAACCCCAUCAUCACUUAAAUCGCCCUAUUUUAAAGGAUCUGUUGCAAAGGAUUUGGCUUGAAGAUUCUAAACUCUAUUUAGCUCCAGGCCUUAAUCACUGCGGAGCUGAGAAUUUUAUAAUCACAAAGAUGGAAGAAUCCUAGAGGUCAAGUGGCUCAGAGAUUCUCCAAUGUUUAGACUUUAUCAAAAUUUAAAGUUUGGAAAAUGAAGAGGGAGAUGUCUAAGAGCUUUUAAGUCUGGAAAAACACAACUAUCAAAUAAACGCAACUAUCUUGUGUGGCAACUGUCACUUUACAUUUGUAGACUCAAACAGGAGGAUGGUUACAUUUUUACAUUAGUGAGGCGGCCUUAAACAGAAGAAAUUCAACACACACGUACACACUUUGAGCAGGGACAUGGUGGCACAUGCCUGUAAUCCCCAGCACUUGGAAGGUGGAAGCAGAAGAAUCAGGCACUCAAAGUCAUCCUCAGUGACACAAUAAGUUCAAGGCCAACUUGGCUUUAUGAGAUGAAAAAAAUUCACCACUAUUGGUAUUUUUCUUAUUUCAUGCAUUAGCUCCAGACAGAGGGUGAACAUUUGAAAACUACUGACCUGUUUACUGUUCAUUUGUUUUCAAGACAAGCUUUCUCUGCAUGGCCCUGGCUAUUAUGAAACUCUGUAGACCAGGCUGGCCUCAAACUCACAGAGGUCCACCUGCCUCUGCCUCCCGAGUGCUGGGACUAAAGGCGUGUGUCACCACCACCCAGUUUACAUAUUUUUAUUUAUGUAUAUUUGUUAUGUCUGUAUGAGUGCAUUCACAUUGUGCAGAUGCCCUUGAAGGCCAAGAGAGCAUCGGAUCCCCAGCUGACAUAGGUUCUGGGAACCAAAUUUGGGUCCUCUCGAAGAGCAGCACAUACUUUAAAUCCUUGCCCUGUUUCUCCAGCCCCUGGUUUGCUUUCUGAUUGGUAUCUCUUGGAGAUAGCAUUUUCUCCUCUUUGGUUAGCUCUGGUAGCUGGUUUUCCCACUUCCUUCCCUUUGUGUAGGGAUAAGUGCAAGCUGGGAGUGAGCCAAGGCCUAAGUGAGGGUGUAUUUUGACAUUCAAAUGUUCAUGUUGAGAACUCUAAGGCCUCAGACCUAUGGGACAAUUCAGCAAAGCCCAUAUGGGUCAGGCUCAAGAGAAAUGGCAAGGCUUUCUUUGGGAGUCCAGUAUGAGUGUUUACGAACCAUUGACCAGUGUGAACAAAGACUGACAAUGUGGCUUCCCCCUCCCUGAUGUCACAGCAGGCUGCUCAUCUAUAGGGAUCCGCUACCAAGAGCAGCUCACCCCUCCCUAUGUGCUGAACAUAAUUAACUCAUCGAGGUCCCAGCAGAGGUCAGAGAAUCCACCUGACCUUAGAUUUACUGUAUGUGUGUCUGCCCUUUCUUCA